GACGAACGCUGGCGGCGUGCUUAACACAUGCAAGUCGAACGGAAAGGCCCUGCUUUUGUGGGGUGCUCGAGUGGCGAACGGGUGAGUAACACGUGAGUAACCUGCCCUUGACUUUGGGAUAACUUCAGGAAACUGGGGUUAAUACCGGAUAGGAGCUCCUGCCGCAUGGUGGGGGUUGGAAAGUUUCGGCGGUUGGGGAUGGACUCGCGGCUUAUCUGCUUGUUGGUGGGGUAGUGGCUUACCAAGGCUUUGACGGGUAGCCGGCCUGGGGGGGUGACCGGCAACAUGGGGACGGGAUAACGGCCCGACCUCCUACGGGAGGCAGAGGGGGGGAUAAUGGCAAAAGGGGCGGAGCCCGAUGGAAGCAACGCCGCGGGCGGGUGGACGCCCUUCGGGUUGAAAACCGCUUUAGCCUGUGACGAGGCGGGAGUGACGGUAAUGGGUGAAGAAGCACCGGCUAACUACGUG
rnacentral:rRNA from 1 species